ensembl:snRNA U6 U6 spliceosomal RNA
GUGCUUGCUUCAGUAGCACAUAUACUAAAAUUGGAACAAUACAAAGAAGAUUAGCAUGGCCCCUGCGCAAGGAAAAGGAGUAGUAGGAGCUAUAGCUAUUU